AACAUAAUGUAAAUAAUGUCAUGUAAUGUAAUGUAAUAUAAUGUAAAACAAAAUGAAAUAUACUAUAAUAGAAUACAAAAUACAAGAAAUGAACUCAAUGAAAUAUAACCGUAAAGAUUAUUAGCUACAAGACUCUAUUUCCUCACCAAAGUAGGUUAUAACCUAAAUUAUAAAUGGCAAACGAUUAUGUCAAUGCAAAUGCAAGUAGAACUGAUUAUUGGAUGACGUAUCAAAUUAAAAUAGCUAAAGCAACAAUGAAAUCAAAUGUAAAUUACGUAGUUCAAUAAACACUAUACCAGUGUAUAAACUGAAAUAAGAAUAAAAUGAAAUAAAAUAAAAUAGAAUAAAUAAAUAAGUACAUAAUAAAUAAGAGUACUUAAAUGAUAAGAUUAUAAUAAAAUUCACGAACAAUCAAAGCAUUUGGAUGGACAGAACCAUUUAUCAUCGCAGAGAUAGCAAAACUUAGUUAAAAUAAGUAAAAUAAGCACAUGUCACUGCUGCAUCGUCGUGCAAAGACCAAAAUGAAAUAUGUAAGCCACGAUAUAAGGAAGAAAUAAAGGAAUAAAUACGAUGAAUACUAUGAGUGAGAUAAUCGAAAAUCAAAAUCGAAAGAACAAGAAAAGUAAACCGCGUAACCGCAUAAACCACGUAACCACGUAACCAAUAAACACGUUAAAUACGUUGCACCACGGAUAUGAAUCGAUGAAAAUGACAAAUAUAAUAAAAUAAAAUAAUAAACCAAACAGUAAGCCGAACAACCGGAUGACAAGCGGACUACGUAUUGAAUCACAAAAUAAAAGGAAAUAAAUAAAUGCAAUACCCGUAAUGACGUGAAAGACAUGAAAUAAUAUGAACCAUGAGAUAUGAAAUAUGAAUGUAGAUGGUAAAUAAAAUAAAUAAAAUAGAAUACGAUGGGUAAUGAAAUAAAUAAAACGAGGCAGCAAUGUAAAUCGCGUAAACCAUUAACACAUGAAAAAGCGAUAUUAACCACUGAUAUUAAUAUAUAUAGAACCAAAUAGAACGGUAAAUACGAUAAGACGAUAAAUAAAUUGAACAAUUAAAUCACGCAGAGGGACGUAAAUUGCGCAGGUUUAUUAAUCACACAAUUAUACCGUUGCGAAUAAAUAAAUAAAUAAAAGACAACAAUGAGAUAAAAUAAAAUUACGGUAAUAAACGAAUAAAACAGAUAAUGAAUAGGCUGAACUUUGAUUCCAGGGACAUAAAAUUAUUGCCCUUUUUUCUUGCUCUUUAGUAGUUUUUGACACGUAGAAUCCAUAAAUGUAGGUCGUAACUUUAGGAAAUUAGCGGUUCAAAAGUUAUGAGUAUGUAAAGUUUCACGUUUUUAGGGUAUUUUACACGCUACUUUGACGCCAUGUUGCUUCCAUCUAUUAUUUGAUUGGCCCGCAUAGAUGAGCAUUCGGCGGCCAUUUUGGCGGGAUAAAUCAAAUGUUUCAUUUGAAUUUGUUUUCCACGAUAAUGAUUUCGCCGACCGCCUGUGCGAGUAUUUAUGGCGUCGAUUUUGCCGCAAAAACAAAGUCGAUAUGAUGGAAUCAUUAAUGGAGGCAAUUAAGAAACAAUAUAUUUUUAAAUAAGGUAAGCGGAAGUAUUAGAUUAGGUUAGGCUAUAUACUUAAAUCCGACCGCCGUCAGGCGGUCGGCAACGCUUUCGUGAAAUAAUAAUACUGUUGAAAUGUAAUAAUUUCUUUUAAAGGGCCCUGUUUAAAAUUUUUAGGUUGGUAGUAUGAUACAUAGGAACUUUGAAAGCUCAUCUAUGCGGGCCAAUCAAAUAAUAGAUGGAAGCAACAUGGCGUCAAAGUAGCGUGUAAAAUACCCUAAAAACGCGAACUUUACAUACUCAUAACUUUUGAACCGCUAAUUUCCUAAAGUUACGACCUACAUUUAUGGAUUUUACGUGUCAAAAACUAUUAAAGAGCAAAAAAAAA